GGAGUAUGGACCGUGUCUCAGUUCCAUUGUGGCCGUUCAUCCUCUCAGACCGGCUACCGAUCGUCGGCUUGGUGCACCUUUACUACACCAACUACCUAAUCGGACGCAGGCUCCUCGCAAAGCGAUAAAUCUUUAGUAACAAAGUCAUGCGACUCCACUACAACAUCCGGUAUUAGCGUCCCUUUCGGGACGUUGUCCCCGACUUUGCGGCAGAUUACCUGCGCGUUACUCACCCGUUCGCCACUAGGAUUCUGCCGAAACAAAAUCCCCGUUCGACUUGCAUGUGUUAGGCACGCCGCCAGCGUUCUCCUGAGCCAGGAUCAAACUACU
rnacentral:rRNA from 1 species